rnacentral:rRNA from 1 species
AACGAACGCUGGCGGCGUGCCUAACACAUGCAAGUCGAGCGAGAAAGCCCGCAAGGGUGAGUAAAGCGGCGCACGGGUGCGUAACACGUGGGUAAUCUGCCCUGGAGUCCGGAAUAACUCGCCGAAAGGCGUGCUAAUGCCGGAUGAGACCACGGGGGCUUCGGCUCCUGCGGGAAAAGGUGGCCUCUGUACACAAGCUAUCGCUUCAGGAUGAGCCCGCGGCCCAUCAGCUCGUUGGCGGGGUAAUGGCCCACCAAGGCUACGACGGGUAGCUGGUCUGAGAGGACGAUCAGCCACACUGGAACUGAGACACGGUCCAGACUCCUACGGGAGGCAGCAGUGGGGAAUCUUGCGCAAUGGGCGAAAGCCUGACGCAGCAACGCCGCGUGUGUGAUGAAGGUCUUCGGAUCGUAAAGCACUGUCGCGAGGGACGAAUAAGGGCCGGGUUAACAUCCCGGUCCGAUGACGGUACCUCGAAAGGAAGCACCGGCUAACUCUGUGCCAGCAGCCGCGGUAAUACAGAGGGUGCAAGCGUUGUUCGGAAUUAUUGGGCGUAAAGCGCGUGUAGGCGGCUUUGUAAGUUGGGUGUGAAAGCCCUCGGCUUAACCGAGGAAGUGCGCCCAAAACUGCAUGGCUUGAGUACCGGAGAGGGUGGCGGAAUUCCCGGUGUAGAGGUGAAAUUCGUAGAUAUCGGGAGGAACACCAGCGGCGAAGGCGGCCACCUGGACGGAUACUGACGCUGAG